UUGCAUUUUUCCUCUUUUUGUUUAAAAAAAAAAUUGCUCUUCGCUUGAAAAACGACGUCAUUCUGUUUCUCGAAGCGGAAGAGAAGUACAAUAUCAUGGGAGUAGGUGGCGGCUUUUGAGAGCGAGAGAAACAGAGAGAAAUGUCCCUGGUAGACUACGCUUCUUCGUCCGACGACGACGUGUCGGAGGAUAAAGAACGAGAAGAAGAAUCGGAAGCAACAGCGAAACCCCAAAACGAACCACAAGUCCGAAAUUCAUCUCCUACAAUUCCGCCUACUAACCAGAGAUCUUCUAAGUCAUUCUCAAGUCCACACCUUUCACCGUCUUGUAUCGAGACGCUUCCAGAUGCUUCUCUUCUACUGAAUUCACCAUCAGUUUCAUUGCUCACUGCAACUGGAACCGGAACUGACCAUGCAUCUCGAGUUGCAGCUGCUAUGGCAGAAAGUGCAUCACGCAAAAGAGACUCCCAUGGAUUGCCUUCCAGUUUACCCCGCUCCAAAGUACCAAAAGGGACUUUGCCACAUACAAAGAUGGUUCCAGAUACGGUUGGUGGUAUUCUAGUUCCGCCUCAACUAAGUGGAAGGUCAUCUAUCUAGGGUGACUAUUUGUUCUCACCACUUAGCUCAGCUCAGGAGAGACCUUGGCCUCCGACCGGCCGUUUCGACUCCAGAUUAACAUCGCCGGCGUCGCCUCAACCCCCUCAUUCCACCACUGUGUGUUGUUGCCUGAUCCAGUACACCAAUAAAGGACUUAUGAGGAGCAACAUUGUGACAGAAGACAUCGGGAAGCUGUUUGUAAAGAGACAAGCUGAGCCCUCUUCUCACUAGAAUGUCCUAUGCGAUAGUUCUAUUUAAUGUGACAUUUUUGUAGCCUUAAAAUAUGUCUAAAAUUAUUUUUGUAGCCUUAACAUAUCUGUCUCUCAAAUUUCACUGCGCUAUAAAUAUGAAAUUUUGUCAAA